rnacentral:rRNA from 1 species
AGCCACAUGUCUUAUAUAUGUGGUAGCUUCUGCUCAAUGAAUAAUGUUAAAUAGCCGCAGUACCCUGACUGUGCAAAGGUAGCAUAAUCAUUUGGCUCAUAAUUGGAGUCUAGUAUGAAUGAAUUUAUGGCUAAGAACUGUCUCCUUUAAAGUUUAUUGAACUUACUGAGUGAGUGCAAAUACUCAUAUUUUAACAAAAGACGAGAAGACCCUAGAAAUUUUUAUUAAUUUUUAUUAAAGAAAGCGUUUUUGUUGGGGCGACAUAAUAACAUAUAACUUAUUAUAAAUAUAAGAACCUUUUGUUGAGUAAACUAAAAUUACUCUAGGGAUAACAGCAUAAUUUACAAAAGUUUGUGACCUCGAUGUUGGAUUAGGGACUGUAUUAUUCAGAAGAAAAUAUGAUUUGUUCUGUUCGAACAUUAGUUCUU